rnacentral:rRNA from 1 species
CACGUAGGCGGAUAGGUCAGUCAGAUGUGAAAGCCCGGAGCUUAACUCCGGAACUGCAUUUGAUACUACUUGUCUUGAGUAUGGUAGAGGGGGGUGGAAUUCCCGGUGUAGAGGUGAAAUUCGUAGAUAUCGGGAGGAACACCAGAGGCGAAGGCGACCCCCUGGGCCAUAACUGACGCUGAGGUGCGAAAGCGUGGGGAGCAACA